GAGUUUGAUCAUGGCUCAGAUUGAACGCUGGCGGCAUGCCUUACACAUGCAAGUCGAACGGCAGCACGGGAGCUUGCUCCUGGUGGCGAGUGGCGAACGGGUGAGUAAUGCAUCGGAACGUAUCCUGGAGUGGGGGAUAACGUAGCGAAAGUUACGCUAAUACCGCAUAUUCUGUGAGCAGGAAAGCGGGGGACCUUCGGGCCUCGCGCUCUUGGAGCGGCCGAUGUCGGAUUAGCUAGUUGGUGAGGUAAAGGCUCACCAAGGCGACGAUCCGUAGCAGGUCUGAGAGGAUGAUCUGCCACACUGGAACUGAGACACGGUCCAGACUCCUACGGGAGGCAGCAGUGGGGAAUUUUGGACAAUGGGGGCAACCCUGAUCCAGCCAUGCCGCGUGAGUGAAG
rnacentral:rRNA from 6 species